GAAGAUAAAGGGAUCAAGGGAGCUUGGUUUAUGAAAAAAAAAGCACUGCUUCUCCUUACAAUGUCCAUUUAAGUGUACUUAUGGAGAUCUAGACAACCCCGGGAGGCAAACAGGGCACGAGACUACAGAGCAGAUCUACUACAAAGAAGCUUUAUCAAUUUCCACACACAAGAGUACCCACAACAGUACAAAGAAUUCUAAAUGGCCUUCUAUAAAGCAAACAAUGUUCACA